AUUGAACGCUGGCGGCAUGCCUUACACAUGCAAGUCGAACGGUAACAGGUCUUCGGAUGCUGACGAGUGGCGAACGGGUGAGUAAUACAUCGGAACGUGCCCGAUCGUGGGGGAUAACGGAGCGAAAGCUUUGCUAAUACCGCAUAAGAUCUACGGAUGAAAGCAGGGGACCGCAAGGCCUUGCGCGAACGGAGCGGCCGAUGGCAGAUUAGGUAGUGGGUGGGAUAAAAGCUUACCAAGCCGACGAUCUGUAGCUGGUCUGAGAGGACGACCGGCGGCACGGGGACGGAGACACGGCCCAGACUCCUACGGGAGGCAGCAGUGGGGAAUUUUGGACAAUGGGCGCAAGCCUGAUCUAGCCAUGCCGCGUGCAGGAUGAAGGCCUUCGGGUUGUAAGCUGCUUUUGUACGGAACGAAAAGACUCUUUCUAAUAAAGAGGGUCCAUGACGGUACCGUAAGAAUAAGCACCGGCUAACUACGUGCCAGCCGCCGCAGUAAAAC
rnacentral:rRNA from 1 species